rnacentral:misc_RNA from 1 species
AAGUCGUAACAAGGUUUCCGUAGGUGAACCUGCGGAAGGAUCAUUAACUAAAUGAAAAAUAAUCCUUGUGAAUUAUAGGAGGAUUUCCUAUGGUAUAUAUAACUACAAGUAUGAAAAAUUACUCUAUAAUAAUUUUUAACAAUGGAUCUCUAGGCUCUU